rnacentral:rRNA from 1 species
UACGUAGGGGGCUAGCGUUGUCCGGAAUCAUUGGGCGUAAAGAGCGUGUAGGCGGCCCGGUAAGUCCGCUGUAAAAGUCAAAGGCUCAACCUUUGAAUGUCAGUGGAUACUGCCGGGCUAGAGUCCGGAAGAGGCGAGUGGAACUCCUGGUGUAGCGGUGGAAUGCGCAGAUAUCAGGAAGAACACCAACGGCGAAGGCAGCUCGCUGGGAUGGUACUGACGCUGAGACGCGAAAGCGUGGGGGAGCGAACAGG